UACGAAGGGGGCUAGCGUUGUUCGGAAUUACUGGGCGUAAAGCGCGCGUAGGCGGUUUUCCAAGUCGGGCGUGAAAGCCCCGGGCUCAACCCGGGAAAUGCGCUCGAAACUUGAAGACUGGAGGCCGGAAGAGGGUAGUGGAAUUCCCAGUGUAGAGGUGAAAUUCGUAGAUAUUGGGAAGAACACCAGCGGCGAAGGCGGCUAUCUGGACCACAACUGACGCUGAGGCGCGAAAGCGUGGGGAGCA
rnacentral:rRNA from 1 species